AAAAGAUUGAAUCUUGACACAUUGAGUUUUCUAGAUUGUGCCUACUAACAUCGAAUGGUAUACAAAAAGAUGGGAGGAAAGAAUUCGAUUAGAAGUUCAUCUCAAGCGAAUGUUGCAUUUAUGUCAUGAUUAGCGAUCAGCAGGUGCUCAUGUCUUUCGUAGUAGCAAUUUGGAUUACCCGAAUCAUGAUGGUCUUGACUCGUGAGUUUCGCUUUGAGAAAUUGCUUCUGGACUCUGUAACCAUAUAAACUCCCAACUGUUCCCAAUCCUUCUGACUAGAAAUUGCAGAUAUUUUGAUGUUAUAUUUUUCAAAAUUUUAAA